rnacentral:rRNA from 1 species
UACGGAGGGUGCAAGCGUUGCUCGGAAUUAUUGGGCGUAAAGGGUAGGUAGGUGGUCUUAUUUGUCUGGGGUGAAAGCCUUGAGCUUAACUCAAGAAGUGCGCUAGAAACGGUAAGACUAGAGUCCUGGAGAGGGUCGUGGAAUUCCCGGUGUAGCGGUGAAAUGCGCAGAUAAUCAGGAGGAACACCGAUUGCGAAGGCAGCUCGCUGGAACGUUACUGACGCUGAGACGCGAAAGCGUGGGGAGCAAACAGGAUUAGAUACCCGGAG